rnacentral:rRNA from 1 species
UACGAAGGGGGCUAGCGUUGCUCGGAAUUACUGGGCGUAAAGCGCACGUAGGCGGCUCUUUAAGUCGGGGGUGAAAUCCUGGAGCUCAACUCCAGAACUGCCUUCGAUACUGGAGAGCUCGAGUCCGGGAGAGGUGAGUGGAACUGCGAGUGUAGAGAUGAAAUUCGUAGAUAUUCGCAAGAACACCAGUGGCGAAGGCGGCUCACUGGCCCGGUACUGACGCUGAGGUGCGAAAGCGUGGGGAGCAAACAGG